AAAGGUAAACCUAGACUCUAGACUUAUAAGACCCUUAGAGAUCAGUCAACCGCUUUUUUGGGGAUUAAGAAAAAGAGACCAACACAAAAACCUUGGAGCUCCUUCUUCUUUCGGAAAAAACUAUCCCUCCCAUCAUCUUCAGGAUAAUGCACCGUAGCACACUUUAUAUCUGAAGAAAUGAGUUGUUUCAUCUCUUAAAGAGAAAACCUUCACUCACCAAAAGCAGCGAAGCCACCAGCGACUCCUCACCAAAAAACGACCACCCAACGCGCCGGAACACCAUGAAAAUAGUUUUUUCAAAAUCCAGUUGUGUAAGCUCACCAUUUUCUCCAUUAAAGCAGUGAAGAAUCAGCAAAAAACCUCCAUCGAAACAGCCAAACAUCAUAGCUCAAGCUCUAUUUUUAUUUGCGAAAGAUUACGUGGGGAAAAGAGUCGAGUUCGAGUUUUUGGUCGAAGUCGUCGACGUUAUUUUCCGGUCAGUAGUCCCAGCGUCGUUUCCUCUGUCGUAUUUGUGUUCAGUUCUUACAUGAAUUUGCUUCCUUUUGUGCUUAACAAGUGUAUGAUUUUUCAAUUAAGUGCUAUUGAGUUUGUUUAACCAAAGUUGAAUUUGACCUCUUAAGAAAAAUUUGGAUUGAAGCCGUGAUGUGCUUAAUCAAUGUCACGAUAAGAUUUUGCUUUUCUUAGUUGGCAUUUUAACAUCAGUUUUUUUAUCGCAUCUUCUUUAAUUCAUUUUAUCUUGUUCGUGAGGUAUGUUUAAUUGUUUUUAUUUACUAAGUGUUAUGUUAAAUAUGCUCAUUUCUUAUAGAACUCCAUUUUAAGGUUUGAGUUGUUUAUCCCUAUGCUACAUAUAAAUGAUAUGUGAUUACAUGGCAGGCUCGUUAUUUUGUAAUUGAUAGUUUCAGCUCUUCCGCUAGUCUAAAAUCAAAUGUGUUUCUCAUGAAUUACGUCCUAAAUGAAUCAUGGAACUAUAUUCUUGGCUUCUCGAUAACCUCAACUAGUUUUAGAAUAAAUAAUUUAUAAGCACUAUAGUAUGCUUUAUGCGCAUUUUAAAUUUAUCGUCCUGAUUGUGGACACGUUCGCGUGACACGAUUACGAUUCUAAAAAUAAAAUUGGAGUAAUGUUCGCGCAACGUCGACCAAACUUUCUUAAUAAUAAUAAGAGUUAUUAAUUAUGAACACAUUCGCGUGACACAAUUUUAAUGCUCCAAACAAAUGGGUAUACAUGCGCGUAACCCAUUUCAAAAUAAUUUUCUUAAUUAAAAGCGAUGAAAGAGGCAAAAUCACAUAGGUUCUAAAAUGGAUAAUUAAACAAUUCAAUAAGCCAAGUAUGAUAAGAGCGGCCGUGCUAGAACCACAGAACUCAGGAGUGCCUAACACCUUCUCUCGGGUUAAUAGAAUUUCUUACCCGAAUUUCUGUGUUCGCAGAUCGUAAACAAAGUUAACCUUUUCCUUGAUUCGAGAUUUGAACCGGUGACUUGGGACACCAUGAAUUAUCCCAAGUGGCUACUCUAAAUUUAAUAAAUAAGUAAUCCCAUUUCAAUUGUCAUUUUUAGUUGGAAAAAACUCCCGUAUACCCUUUUGGAGGGUGUAGGAAAAAGGAGGUGUGACAGCUCUGGCGACUCUGCUGGAGAUAAAAACCCAAAAUCUCUAGUUCAGGGUUCAAGAAUUCGAGCUUUUAAUAUUUUUUACUUGGCUUUGCUUAUUGUUAAUAUUACUGUAUUCUGUGAACCUUUUGUGCUAAAUGAUAAUUGUUUAUCACUUUAAUGUUGUUUAAAUUCUAUAUAACUGUCUUCUUAUGCCAUACAUUUGAGUCUUCUAAAAUUUGGUGCACAUGUGCAUAUGGACCACUUUCUGUUAGAAGUCACACCAAUAGAACAAGGUUGGGCAAGCGACAAGGCCGGGUAGACUUCAGUGCUCCCAGUAUGUCGCCCCCUCUUCGGCCCCAGUUGUCCGAGGUACCCCAAAUCUAGACCAAAACCUCAAGAUUUAAACCUAGAAGAACACAAUAUCAUGUCAGAUCCCUAGUAGAAGCACUUGUUUGCAUUAUGUGCAUUUGACUUAGGGGACUCAACACAAAGAUUGGGUCCGUCUAGGAUAGGUGUACCCGAAAGAACAUACCAUCCUGGUGCAUCCUAUAUGCUACAUAUUGCAUUUCUUUAAGGUUAAAAGGGUCAUUUGGCGAACCAAUAAAAGUUGAGGGCAAAUGAAAAUAAAGAAAGAGAGAGAGAGAGAGAGAGAGAGAGAGAGAGAGAGAGAGAGAGAGAAGUGUGAAAAUUUCUGACACAUUUUUGUUUGCAUUAUGUGCAUUUGACUUAGGGGACUCAACACAAAGAUUGGGUCCGUCUAGGAUAGGUGUACCCGAAAGAACAUACCAUCCUGGUGCAUCCUAUAUGCUACAUAUUGCAUUUCUUUAAGGUUAAAAGGGUCAUUUGGCGAACCAAUAAAAGUUGAGGGCAAAUGAAAAUAAAGAAAGAGAGAGAGAGAGAGAGAGAGAGAGAGAGAGAGAGAGAGAGAGUGAAGUGUGAAAAUUUCUGACACAUUUUUGAAAAAGAAAAGAAAAAAAUAAAAAAUUCAAAAAAAUUUUGCACUUUCCUAUCAUUUUUCAAAAAUCAAAGAAAAAGAGGAAAAAGAAAAUUCAAAAAGAGUUCACAUGUUUCAUCAGUUUUCAAAAGAAAAGAAAAAUAUAUAUUUUUUCUAAAUUAGUUAUUUUUUUUAAUUCUUGCCCGUAUCCAAUCUAACUGAACUAUGUAUACCUGAUUCUCGUCUUUCAGGGUGCGAUACGUAGGCAACCCAACAGCCAGUUCCGAAGAAGGGGAUUGAUAUGAAUUCACUCCAACAGAAAUGCCCUCAGAUGUAUACGGA
rnacentral:lncRNA from 1 species